ACAUCUUUCUGUCCUGUUUCGUGCAUUCCAUACUCGUGCACGUUGCCGCCUGUGAGGUGUUGCCUGUGUAGAAGACGGAAAUGUUCACUGGCCGUUAUAAAUGCUGUUAUUCUGGAAAUUACUAACAAAAAAACCCACCGAUCAAGAUGCAGAAGGCCGUCGUUAUCAUCCUUGUGCUGGCCUUUGCCACCGUUACAUUGGCCCAGUCCCACGAAGAAGCUGAAGAGGCUUCACACUUGAGACUUCGUCGUGCCUUUCGCUGUCCAGUCAACCACUAUGAGUGUCACAAGCACUGCACGUCCAUUCAAGGAUACAGGGGCGCAUACUGCGGAAAAUACAUGAAAAUGAGAUGCAAGUGUUACUGAAAUAUGUACGCCCUAUAAUAUGUAUAACAUCUAUUUAAGGGACAUGGUGGGACUAAAUAAAGGACGUUAUAGUGGC